rnacentral:rRNA from 1 species
CCUACGGGAGGCAGCAGUGGGGAAUAUUGCACAAUGGGGGAAACCCUGAUGCAGCGACGCCGCGUGAGUGAAGAAGUAUUUCGGUAUGUAAAGCUCUAUCAGCAGGGAAGAAAAUGACGGUACCUGAUUAAGAAGCCCCGGCUAACUACGUGCCAGCAGCCGCGGUAAUACGUAGGGGGCAAGCGUUAUCCGGAUUUACUGGGUGUAAAGGGAGCGUAGACGGCAGCACAAGUCUGGAGUGAAAUGCCGGGGCUUAACCCCGGAACUGCUUUGGAAACUGGGCAGCUGGAGUGCAGGAGAGGUAAGUGGAAUUCCUAGUGUAGCGGUGAAAUGCGUAGAUAUUAGGAGGAACACCAGUGGCGAAGGCGGCUUACUGGACUGUAACUGACGUUGAGGCUCGAAAGCGUGGGGAGCAAACAGGAUUAGAUACCCCAGUAGUC